rnacentral:rRNA from 1 species
UACAGGGGGGGCAAGCGUUGUUCGGAAUUACUGGGCGUAAAGGGUUCGUAGGUGGCCAACUAAGUCAGACGUGAAAUCCCUCAGCUUAACUGGGGAACUGCGUCUGAUACUGGAUGGCUUGAGUGUAGGAGAGGAAUGCGGAAUUCAAGGUGUAGCGGUGAAAUGCGUAGAUAUCUGGAGGAACACCGGUGGCGAAGGCGGCAUUCUGGACUACAACUGACACUGAGGAACGAAAGCCAGGGGAGCAAACGGG